GGGCCUAUAGUAAAGUGGCAUUACGCGUCCAUGGCAUGGAUGAGGCGGGAGUCCGAUUCUCCCUAGGUCCA
rfam:Parcubacteria bacterium GW2011_GWC2_42_12 TT95_C0008, whole genome shotgun sequence.